rnacentral:rRNA from 1 species
GGCUGGACUAUUUAUUACCCUUGUCUUUUGCGCACUUGUUGUUUCCUGGGCGGGUUCGCCCGCCACCAGGACCACCAUAUAAACCUUUUUUAUGCAGUUGCAAUCAGCGUCAGUACAACAAAUGUAAAUCAUUUACAACUUUCAACAACGGAUCUCUUGGUUCUGGCAUCGAUGAAGAACGCAGCGAAAUGCGAUACGUAGUGUGAAUUGCAGAAUUCCGUGAAUCAUCGAAUCUUUGAACGCACAUUGCGCCCUUUGGUAUUCCAAAGGGCAUGCCUGUUCGAGCGUCAUUUGUACCCUCAAGCUUUGCUUGGUGUUGGGCGUUUUUGUCUUUGGUUUGCCCAAAGACUCGCCUUAAAACGAUUGGCAGCCGGCCUACUGGUUUCGCAGCGCAGCACAUUUUUGCGCUUGCAAUCAGCAAAAGAGGACGGCAAUCCAUCAAGACUCCUUCUCACGUUUGACCUCGGAUCAGGUAGGGAUACCCGCUGAACUUAAGCAUAUCAAUA